CUGCAGUCGAACGGUGAAGCUCAAGCUUGCUUGGGUGGAUCAGUGGCGAACGGGUGAGUAACACGUGAGCAACCUGCCCCGGACUCUGGAAUAAGCGCUGGAAACGGCGUCUAAUACUGGAUAUGACACCAAUCCGCAUGGGUAUGGUGUGGAAAGUUUUUCGGUCUGGGAUGGGCUCGCGGCCUAUCAGCUUGUUGGUGAGGUAAUGGCUCACCAAGGCGACGACGGGUAGCCGGCCUGAGAGGGCGACCGGCCACACUGGGACUGAGACACGGCCCAGACUCCUACGGGAGGCAGCAGUGGGGAAUAUUGCACAAUGGGCGAAAGCCUGAUGCAGCGACGCCGCGUGAGGGAUGACGGCCUUCGGGUUGUAAACCUCUUUCAGCAGGGAAGAAGCGAAAGUGACGGUACCUGCAGAAGAAGCACCGGCUAACUACGUGCCAGCAGCCGCGGUAAUACGUAGGGUGCGAGCGUUGUCCGGAAUUAUUGGGCGUAAAGAGCUUGUAGGCGGUUUGUCGCGUCUGCUGUGAAAAUCCGGGGCUCAACCCCGGACUUGCAGUGGGUACGGGCAGACUAGAGUGUGGUAGGGGAGACUGGAAUUCCUGGUGUAGCGGUGAAAUGCGCAGAUAUCAGGAGGAACACCGAUGGCGAAGGCAGGUCUCUGGGCCACUACUGACGCUGAGAAGCGAAAGCAUGGGGAGCGAACAGGAUUAGAUACCCUGGUAGUCCAUGCCGUAAACGUUGGGCGCUAGGUGUGGGACUCAUUCCACGAGUUCCGUGCCGCAGCUAACGCAUUAAGCGCCCCGCCUGGGGAGUACGGCCGCAAGGCUAAAACUCAAAGGAAUUGACGGGGGCCCGCACAAGCGGCGGACAUGCGGAUUAAUUCGAUGCAACGCGAAGAACUUACAGGCUUGACUAUACCGAAACAUCCAGAGAUGGGUGCCCCUUUUAGGUGAUACGGGGCAUGCGUCAGCUCGCGGGAAUGGGUUAUCCCGAAGCCUCUCCUAUGGGGGGCUGAAUGGGACGAAAGGGG
rnacentral:rRNA from 1 species